AUGAGUCGUCAUGAUGGCACCAACAUCCCCGAUGGCAAGUUCUACCUAGGAGAUGCUGCCUAUGCAUGUCGGUCAGGCAUUCUUCCACCCUUCAGGAAAACUAGGUACAAUCUGAACAAGUUCUCUGGUAGAAACUAUCCAAGAAUUCCUCAGGAACUAUUCAAUGUCAGACACUUCAACCUUAGAGUAAUGUUUGAGAGGGCAUUUGGAGCUCUGGAGAAUAGGUUUAAGAUCCUGGAUCAAAAGUCAUUCCAUAUUUACCCUACCCAGGUCAAGCUUGUUCUUGCAUUCAUUUUUUGGAAAAAAUUGCAUACUUACGCUAGCUGCAACAUGCAAGAACAUACAAAGGAACUCGAAGGUCCCACUAAGGAUAGAAGCGCAUAUUGGCGAUGCUUUUGCAAGGUGGAUAUCAUUACAUCGUACCAUUACAUAAUAGUUGGGGAUACAUAG
rnacentral:rRNA from 1 species